rnacentral:rRNA from 1 species
GGUAUGAAAGGGUUAACGAAGAAGGUGCUGUGUCUAAAAACUCAAUUUAAACUAACUUUAAGGUGAAGAGGCCUUUAUGUAAAAGAAGGACGACAAGACCCUAUGAAGCUUUAUCUUAAUUGGAGCUUUCAGGCUCUUAUACGAUUUUGAUGGGAGAUCAGUAGAAAUAAGUCUUCUACUAUCAUAUUAAUCUUACUAGUAUUUCCUAACCUUAUAUGUGUGGCUAGCUACUCUAGGGAUAACAGCGCAAUUUCUCCCGAAAGAUGGUAUUGGAGGGGAAGAUUGCGACCUCGAUGUUGGCUUUAGAUAUCCUAGAGGCGUAGAAGCUUCU